CGUCACGGGCGCUGGAAGAUUGACGCUGGAGGCCCGUUGGGGAGGUAGCUUUAUGGCUGCUGGGUGUCUGCUGCUCGGUGGAAAAUGUUGUCCGCCCGAUGUCUUGAAAAGAUCUCGGUCACUGGUGUUUAAACAAACCUCAGUAAAAUGACUCUUCAGGCGCUGGUGCACCGUGCGGCCUCCGUGCACUUGAACAGAACAGCUGUGUGCUUUGACGAAGGCAGCAGCCGGCCCCCAGUGUGUCACACCUACAAGACAGUGCUGAGCGAGGCUUCCGAAUUAUGUGAUUUCCUGCUGACACACUGUGACUUUGGAGGAAUUCGGGAAAUUGGUCUCUACUGCCAACCUGGGAUAAGCGUACCCUCCUGGAUUUUAGGGAUUCUUCAGGUCCCAGCGGCUUAUGCACCUGUGGAUCCAGACUCACCACCGUCAUUAUCAGUUCACUUUAUGAAGAAAUGUCAUCUGAAGUAUGUUCUUGUUGAAAAAAAGCAGGUUAACAAAUUCAGAUCUUCACAUGAAGCAGUUUUGAACUAUGACACAGUUUCAGUGGAACAUAAGGACCUGGUGCUCUACAGACUUCACUGGGGAAACGGCGAGGUGUCGGCGCUCAGUGAUGGAAAAGAGAAAUUCAAGGUGGAUGAUAGAGAAACCAGCAUGAGUUCUGAGAACAGCAUCGAAGGGAGGGCACACGUGGACAUUCGGCAGGAGCGUUGCUUGGCUUAUGUUCUACACACCUCGGGGACCACAGGAACACCAAAGAUUGUCAGAGUGCCUCAUGCAUGCAUACUACCAAAUGUCCAGCACUUUCGGGUGCUUUUUGACAUCACCCAAGAAGACGUUUUGUUUCUGGCUUCGCCUCUGACCUUCGAUCCAUCUGUUGUGGAAAUAUUUGUUUCUCUGUCCAGUGGAGCCUGUCUGCUCAUCGUGCCAACUUCUGUCAAAGUGUUCCCAGCCAAGUUAGCUGAUGUUCUCUUUUCCCGCCACAGAGUGACCGCUCUACAGGCAACGCCAACAUUGCUGAGAAGAUUUGGAUGUGAGCUCAUCAAGUCCACUGUCCUGUCAGCGCACACUUCUUUGAGAGUGCUGGCCCUCGGUGGGGAAGCCUUUCCCUCACUGGCUGUUCUCAGAAGCUGGAGAGGCGAAGGCAAUAAGACACAAAUAUUUAAUAUUUAUGGUAUCACAGAGGUGUCCAGUUGGGCGACUUUCUACAGGAUCCCCGAGGAAGUCCUUAAUUCUCCUGUGAACAGACACGAAUCUCCCGUGCAGCUGGGGUCACCACUCUUCGGAACGGUGGUCGAAGUCAGGGACACAAAUGGCUCCCCAGUUCACGAGGGCACCGGCCAGGUAUUUUUAGGUGGGGAGAACAGAGUGUGUUUCCUGGAUGGUGAAACGGCAGUGCCUCCCGGCACCAUGCGGGCCACAGGAGACUUUGUGACCGUGAAAGAUGGAGAGAUGUUUUUCUUGGGAAGAAAGGACAGCCAGAUCAAGCGCCAUGGCAAACGUCUUAACAUUGAGCUUGUACGACAGGUGGCUGAAGAACUUCACCAGGUGGAAUCCUGUGCAGUUACGUGGUAUAAUCAGGAAAAGUUGAUUCUCUUCGUCGUAGCCAAAGUUGAUUUGGUAAAGGAUAGCAUCCUUAAAGAAUUGCGGAAACGCCUCCCAACUCACGCUCUCCCUGAUGACAUGGUGUUGAUUGAUGCUCUGCCAUUCACGUGCCAUGGAAAAAUUGAUGUUUCUGAAUUAAACAAGAUAUAUUUAGACUACAUAAACUCGGAGCCUAGGAAUAAGAUCCAUGGAAAAGAGGAACUUUGGGAAAAAUUACAGUAUUUAUGGAAGUCUAUUCUGAGUCUCCCUGGGGAUCCCGAGGAUGCUUGGAAGGUUCCCGAGGACUCAGUUUUCUUAGAUAGUGGCGGCGAUUCCCUCAAGUCCACGUGGCUCCUCAAUGAGAUUGAAAAACUCACUGGCACACCCAUGCCUGGGCUCCUGGAGCUUAUUCUCAGCAGAUCUAUCUUAGAGGUGUACAACCACAUCGUUCAGACCGUGUUUGCACAGGAGGACCUGAAAGUCGGCAAGGGCUGUGCCACGAAAAGGAAACUCAGUGACACGGACCCAGAGGAAGCCAGCGGCAAACCUGCACAGCCGGCCUUGCCCUUUGCCCACGACAGCGAGGCAAACGCUCUGAUUGCUCUCAGCAGAGGGAGUCAGCUCCUGUCUUUGGGCACUUGGGGGCAUUUAACUAAGUUAGGACACUGCCUGUCAGUCUGUCCCCCUGAUUUAAUCUCACGGACUGACACUCAAGCACCAAAAGACUUAAGUCCUCCAGUUCCUGAGGAGAAGUUGGAAAAGCCAUCAGUUUCUCAGGAGAGGAAACCUGCGGCAGGGGCUGAGACCAUGUUGCGAGAGAGGUGGUGGUCAGACACGGGCAAAUGUGUAGAUGCGUCCCCUCUGCUGGUGAUGGCAGCUGCCGAUCCGUCAUCCACAACUGUGUACAUCGGCUCCCACUCCCACAGAGUGAAAGCGGUCGACCUUUACUCUGGGAAGACGAGAUGGGAACAGCUCCUGGGAGAUCGAAUUGAAUCCUCGGCAUGCGUGUCCAAGUGUGGAAAUUUUAUUAUAGUGGGCUGCUAUGAUGGAUUAGUUUAUGUUCUAAGAAGUAAGAGUGGAGAAAAACAUUGGGCAUUUACCACUGAAGAUGCUGUCAAAAGCUCGCCAGCCCUGGACCCCACCACAGGCCUCAUCUAUGUCGGGUCUCAUGACCAGCAUGCGUAUGCUCUAGACAUCUAUGAAAAGAAGUGUGUCUGGAAGCUAAACUGUGAUGGGAUGCUCUUCGCUUCUCCAUGUUUGAGCCUGAGGCCACAUCACCUGUACUGUGCUACGCUGAGGGGGCUUUUACUGGCUAUAAAUCCUGCUGCUGGGAGUGUAGUUUGGAAGCACUGCUGUGGACAGCCGCUCUUCUCUUCCCCACGGUGCUGCCAGCGGUACGUUUGCGUCGGCUGUGUGGACGGGAGCUUGCUCUGCUUCACUCAUGCAGGAGAGCAGGUGUGGCGCUUCUCUGCGGGGGGACCAAUCUUCUCAUCCCCAUGCAUCCCAGCAUCAGAACGAGAAAUAUUUUUUGGUUCCCAUGAUUGCUUUCUGUACUGCUGUAGCAUGGAAGGUCACCUGCAGUGGAAAUUUGAGACUACCGCGAGGGUGUACGCAACUCCCUUUGCUUUCAGUAACCAGAGCUGCAGCAGCGAAUCCCUGCUGGCGGCCGCAUCCACUGACGGGAAGCUGUGGAUCCUGGAGUCUCAGAGUGGCAAGCUGCGAAGUGUGCAUGCACUCCCGGGGGAAGUUUUCUCUUCUCCUGUGGUCUGGGAAUCCAUGCUUAUCAUUGGGUGCAGAAAUAAUUACAUUUACUGUCUGGAUUUAUUGUGUAGUGAUAAUCAAGUGUAGUCCUUGUAAGUAUAUAUGUGUGUGUGAGAUGGUUGGAAAUAUUGUAAAGCUAUGGUUUUAUAUUAAAGAUUGUAAAGGAUGGUUUUAUAUUAAAGAUUCUAUUUUGGGUAAGGAAUUUGUCUGCUGUACUUCAAUAGAGAGCAACCCUAUUUAUUUCUUAUAGAAGGAGCAGGAGCUUCUAGGAAGGGAGGAUAAAACACCUACAGUUUUUUAAAUAAACUUUUAACAUUUAUUUAUUUUAUGUAUAUGAUGCUCUAUCUGCAUGUACACCUAUAUGCCAGAAGAGGGCAUCCGAUCCCAUUAUAGAUGGUUAUGAGCCACCAUGUGGUUGCUGGGAAUUGAACUUAGAACUUCUGGAAGAGCAGCCAAUGCUCCUAACCACUGAGCCAUCUCUCCAGCCCACACCUACUGUAUUUUGUAGUACUUUAAGUACUACAAAUGUGAUGGUGUGCUGGAUAGUUUCAUGUCAAAGUGACACAAGCUAGUCAUUUGAGAGGUGGGAACCUCAACUGAAAAAAAAAAUGCCUCCAUAAGACUGGGCUGUAGGUAAGCCUCUACAGGAUUUUCUUAAUUAUCGAUCGAUAGGGGAGAGCCCAGCCCAUUGUGAGUGGUGCCACCCUGGACUGUUUCUGGCUUCUUUAGCAGGCUGACCAAGUCAUGAAGAGCAAGCCAGCAAGCAUCAUGCCUCCAUGACCUCUGCAUCAGCUCCUGCCUCCAGGCUCCUGCCCUGGCUGAGUUCCUGACUUCCUUCAGUGAUGGACUAUGAGACCAGAAGAUGUGGGAGUCCCAGGAGCUGGAGUGAGGCACCAUGUAGAUGCUAGGAACUGAGCCUGGGUCCUCUGUAUGAGGCAAGAACUCUUAACCAGAACCAUCUCUGUAGACUGAGCUAAAGGUUUUUAAAGGCCAGAAGAGGGCACCAGACCUCAAUCCAGAUGGUUGUGAGCCACCAUGUGGUUGCCGGGAAUUGAACUCAGGACCUUUGGAAGAGCAGGCAAUGCUCUUAACCGCUGAGCCAUCUCUCCAGCCCCCUGCAAGAUCAUUUUAUGAGACUGAGACCACUCACUUCCUACCGGACUUGAGAUAAACAUCUGGCCUUGUUCAUGUGUCAUCCUGGAGUAAAGAGACUGCAAGAUCAUUUUAUCCGAGACUGAGACCACUCACUUCCUAUGUGGACUUGAGAACGUCCCCAUAGCUUGUUGCUCAGACAACACAGCUGAAGCAGAAUAACACUUCCUUGGUACUCAGUGCAGGUUUGGGUGACUGGGAAAUAUAAUCUUGAGCAUGUGCUUUUUCAGCAAGAAGGACGACCGCCUGUUCCUCAGUAGAUUCUUCUUUAAAGAUAUCCGUGGGGCAUUUUUAACUAUGCUAUAUCUUGUACUGUGUGUGGGCUCAUGGUAUCGAGUCAGUAUGAACGCAUCUACUAGUCUUUAAUUUGUUUUAAGACGGGGUCUCCACUGUGUAGCCUUGGCUGGCCUGGAACUCAUCAUGUAGACCAGACUGGCCUUGAACACACAGAGUUCCACCUGUGUCUGCCUCCUAAAUGCUGGGUAAAAGGCAUGCGCCACCAUGCCCAGCCCUAUUCUUCCUUAGCCAUCUUAUUUCUGGUCCUGUUCACUGCCAUGACUAUGGUACUGGCCAAAGCCGAGAGGAUGGAGGAAGAAGCCAGUUUGGAAGAAUCACUGUGGCACUGUAAGUCUAGAGCUUUGUGUAGAAAGAUUCCCAUUCUAUAAUUCUAGAGCUUUGUAUGGAAAGAUUCCCAUUCUAUAACUGUAGGGUUUUGGGUGGAAAGAUUCCCAUUCUAUAAUUUUAGGGCUUUGGGUGUUCUAUCAGUGAGGAAAUCAUUGAACUAACAAUUGUCUACACAUAAGAUUUAGAAAUGAACACCAGUGUGGGAAACGUGCAGUGGAAUAUUAGUUGCUUACAAUAGCAGUAACAACAAAAAAGUUACAUUGAUUCUUAACAGUCUGAAGGUCCAGUAAAUAUAAUACUAAGUCCAACUUGCAAUAGUACAGCUAUCCACUUGACCACACAUGCCAGCU